rnacentral:rRNA from 1 species
UACGUAGGGUCCGAGCGUUGUCCGGAGUUACUGGGCGUAAAGCGCGCGCAGGCGGCGGUGUUGGCCCGGCGUGAAAGCCCCCGGCUCAACCGGGGAGAGUCGUCGGGGACCGCACCGCUUGAGGGCGGUAGGGGCUGGUGGAAUGCCUGGUGUAGUGGUGAAAUGCGUAGAGAUCGGGAGGAACACCGGUGGCGAAGGCGGGUCUCUGGGCAAUUCCUGACGCUGAGGCGCGAAAGCGUGGGGAGCAAACGGG